GGUUAAGUGACUAAGCGUACACGGUGGAUGCCUGGGCAGUCAGAGGCGAUGAAGGACGUACUAACUUGCGAUAAGCGCAGAUAAGGCAGUAAGAGCCGUUUGAGUCUGCGAUUUCCGAAUGGGGAAACCCAACUGCAUAAGCAGUUACUGUUAACUGAAUACAUAGGUUAACAGAGCAAACCGGGGGAACUGAAACAUCUAAGUACCCCGAGGAGAAGAAAUCAACCGAGAUUCCGGUAGUAGCGGCGAGCGAACCUGGAUUAGCCCUUAAGCACUCGGUGAAGUAGGUGAACAAGCUGGAAAGCUUGGCGAUACAGGGUGAUAGCCCCGUAACCGACGCUUCAUCGAGCGUGAAAUCGAGUAGGGCGGGACACGUGAUAUCCUGUCUGAAUAUGGGGGGACCAUCCUCCAAGGCUAAAUACUCCUGACUGACCGAUAGUGAACCAGUACCGUGAGGGAAAGGCGAAAAGAACCCCUGUGAGGGGAGUGAAAUAGAACCUGAAACCGUGUACGUACAAGCAGUAGGAGCACCUUCGUGGUGUGACUGCGUACCUUUUGUAU
rnacentral:rRNA from 1 species